rnacentral:rRNA from 1 species
AGAGUUUCGAUCCUGGCUCAGGACGAACGCUGGCGGCGUGCUUAACACAUGCAAGUCGAACGGUGAACCCGCUUCGGUGGGGGAGUCAGUGGCGAACGGGUGAGUAACACGUGGGCAACCUGCCCUCAGCUCUGGGAUAACUCCAAGAAAUUGGGGCUAAUACUGGAUAUGACCGCUGACCGCAUGGUCUGGUGGUGGAAAGAUUUAUCGGCUGGGGAUGGGCCCGCGGCCUAUCAGCUUGUUGGUGGGGUAGUGGCCUACCAAGGCGACGACGGGUAGCCGGCCUGAGAGGGUGACCGGCCACACUGGGACUGGGACACGGCCCAGACUCCUACGGGAGGCAGCAGUGGGGAAUAUUGCGCAAUGGGCGAAAGCCUGACGCAGCGACGCCGCGUGGGGGAUGACGGCCUUCGGGUUGUAAACCUCUUUCAGCAGGGACGAAGCGAAAGUGACGGUACCUGCAGAAGAAGCACCGGCCAACUACGUG